UUUGGGAGUUGGGAGGUGAGAUGAUUGGAGUGAAGAGAGUUAAUGUCAUGGAAAGGAAAAGCUGUCUGAAGAAAAAUACACAUUUUAAUGUCCCUCUUCAGCCGUGCCUGCUGAGAGCUCUCCUGGGAUGAUAAGUGAAAGUGUUUGGAUUUUUUUUAAGUUUUAAAACUCUGCCAAAGCAUUGCUCAGUGUAUCUGGGCAGCCCCUUCCGGCAAAACGCAGCAGUAGCAGAGGCAGCUUCUGAGAGCCUGGGCAGGCAGCAGCUGGCUGACCAAGUCCACUGGAAGAGAAGGCUUGUGCCAGCCGGGAGAAGGAAGCCGGGGACAGGAUGAAAGCAACAACACCUUUGCAGACAGUCGACCGGCCGAAGGACUGGUACAAGACGAUGUUUAAGCAAAUUCACAUGGUGCACAAGCCGGAUGAUGACACAGACAUGUAUAAUACUCCUUAUACAUACAAUGCAGGUCUGUACAACCCACCCUACAGUGCUCAGUCACACCCUGCUGCAAAGACCCAAACCUACAGACCUCUUUCCAAAAGCCACUCCGACAACAGCACCAAUGCCUUUAAGGAUGCGUCCUCCCCAGUGCCUCCCCUACAUGUUCCACCUCCAGUCCCACCGCUUCGACCAAGAGAUCGGUCUUCAACAGAAAAGCAUGACUGGGACCCUCCAGACAGAAAAGUGGACACAAGAAAAUUUCGGUCUGAGCCAAGGAGUAUUUUUGAAUAUGAACCUGGCAAGUCAUCAAUUCUGCAGCAUGAAAGACCACCCCCUCUCCCAACAACUCCGACACCUGUUCCAAGGGAACCUGGCUGGAAGCCUCUUUCUAGCUCCCGACUUGGAGAAGUCACUGGUAGCCCCUCCCCUCCGCCCCGGAGUGGCGCCCCCACACCAAGCUCGCGCGCCCCG
rnacentral:sRNA from 1 species